CCCUGUGAAAUUUUAAAAUAAUGCUUAUCAUUCAAAUCAAGUUAUUUAAUGUUUGUGUCAUGCAGUAGAAAUUAAAUGACCAACUACUUUAUUAUAAGGAAGACUGAUUAAAAAAGGCUUGACUUUAUAGAUAAAAAAAUUUCUAUCUUAUUGACAUUUUAUAAGUUGCUUUGGUUAUUAUGGAAAUACUAAAAAAUGCAGUGCUGUUGUUUUCAUGUACUCUAAUUGGAUGACAGUUUAUCUGUUUCCAGUGACCUUACACCUUGCAUUAGAACUUGGCAAUCAGAAUGCAGGUGGGAGGCAGAAAAAAAAGACACUUGGAAGGAAGAUCAAACUAACCAAUUCAUAAAUUUAAAAAAAAAAGAAUUGUGACAAAGUUUAAUUGACAAGGAAAAAAAACCCAAACAAGAAUUAUUUAUCAAACUUGUUUACCCUGUAUACCAUGAUUCUGUGUUAAUGAUCAGUUAACUUUACCAC
rnacentral:lncRNA from 1 species